rnacentral:ribozyme from 10 species
GCAGCUGCGAAGGAUGCAUCUGAGAAGUUGGAGGGCUUCAAUGCAUGGAAGCAGUUGGGCAGCUUCACAAGCCCCAAAGUGUGCAAGGUGAAAUGGGGUGACCGGCAAGGUCUGCUUAACAACAUCCAGUUUUACCGAAACAGCUCUGUGAUGCAUGACGAUGUGCCAGAUGAGUGCA